rnacentral:rRNA from 1 species
GACGAACGUUGGCGGCGUGCUUAACACAUGCAAGUCGAACGAUGAAGCCGGAGCUUGCUCCGGUGGAUUAGUGGCGAACGGGUGAGUAACACGUGAGCAAUCUGCCCUUGACUCUGGGAUAACUGCGGGAAACUGUAGCUAAUACCGGAUACGACACCUUGGGGCAUCCCAGGGUGUGGAAAGAAUUUCGGUCAGGGAUGAGCUCGCGGCCUAUCAGCUAGUUGGUGAGGUAAUGGCUCACCAAGGCGACGACGGGUAGCCGGCCUGAGAGGGUGACCGGCCACACUGGAACUGAGACACGGUCCAGACUCCUACGGGAGGCAGCAGUGGGGAAUAUUGCACAAUGGGCGAAAGCCUGAUGCAGCAACGCCGCGUGAGGGAUGAAGGCCUUCGGGUUGUAAACCUCUUUUAGCAGGGAAGAAGCGAAAGUGACGGUACCUGCAGAAAAAGCACCGGCUAACUACGUGCCAGCCGCCGCGGUAA